GGUUGAUCCUGCCAGUAGUCAUAUGCUUGUCUCAAAGAUUAAGCCAUGCAUGUCUAAGUAUAAACAAAUUUGUACUGUGAAACUGCGAAUGGCUCAUUAAAUCAGUUAUAGUUUAUUUGAUAAUACCUUACUACUUGGAUAACCGUGGUAAUUCUAGAGCUAAUACAUGCUAAAAAUCCCGACUUCUGGAAGGGAUGUAUUUAUUAGAUAAAAAACCAACCCGGGCAACCGGUUUUUUGGUGAUUCAUGAUAACUUUUCGAAUCGUAUGGCCUUGUGCCGACGAUGGUUCAUU
rnacentral:rRNA from 1 species